CAGACAGAGCGAGGAACAGGCCCCAGGGUGGUUAGCCCAAGAGGACUUUGCAGGGAGGAUGGUGCAUCUUUCUUUCUGAAUGUUUUUUUGGUACGAGGGCAAACAGCAUUCUUUCCAGAAUGGUCCAGGUGAAUCUUGCCAAGAAAUAGCAGCCCAGAUAGAGGGACCCCUCAGGGCUUCUGCAUUAUCUGAGGAUUGGCUCCCACAGGAGGGUCAUUCAAGGAAGAAGCAGCUUUAACUAUUUCCUGAAUGCCAGCAUGCCGUGACCAGUAAGACCCAGGCAGAGGCAGAAAUGAUUGGCUAGAGUGUGCUGCGAUGCUUUUGAUGUCGUCCCCGUGAUACCAACGAGUGAAACUCCCG
rnacentral:lncRNA from 1 species